GAUGUUGUUGCAAAGCAAGAUGACAUAAGCUGCGACAACAAUAGUGGUUAAACUGUCAUGGAGUUCCUUGACCAACGGUUUGAGGUCUGUUAAAUGACCGGAUUGCGGAUUGGUUCAGGUCGGAGAGGCAGAUACCUUGGCGCCAGGAAGCUUCCCAAAUCAGGCCCGUGACAGAUAGGUAGAGCAUGCAAUGCUUAGAAGUCGUGAUGCAGUUGCAAAGAAUGCGUAAUAGGCCAAGGGUUUCAUUUGAAAACAUUGAGAAAUCCUUUCCAAAACCUCGUCUGCUGCCGCAUCAAAAUUCCAAUUGAGGGAGUUGGACUGAACUUACGCAUCAAGAUUCAAACAGAAGAGAAGUUCACUGAACCGCUGUUGACAGGAUUCGGCAAUUGCAGGGUUGGUGGAAGUGAACCUGACAUGGGCAAUGCUACUUGUGAAUGAAGGAAUCAUGAUGGAAGCAAGCUAACAUGCAUCUUGGAGGAUAAAUCAUGACUCAUGGGGAAUUCUUUUGGACAUUCCAUUUGCUUGUUUUUUUU